UCUGGUGUCAGCCGCCGCGGUAAAACCAGCACCUCAAGUGGUCAGGAUGAUUAUUGGGCCUAAAGCAUCCGUAGCCGGCUCUAUAAGUUUUCGGUUAAAUCUGUACGCUUAACGUACAGGCUGCCGGGAAUACUGCAGAGCUAGGGAGUGGGAGAGGUAGACGGUACUCGGUAGGAAGGGGUAAAAUCCUUUGAUCUAUUGAUGACCACCUGUGGCGAAGGCGGUCUACCAGAACACGUCCGACGGUGAGGGAUGAAAGCUGGGGGAGCAAACCGGAUUAGAUACCCGGGUAGUCCCAGCUGUAAACUAUGCAAACUCAGUGAUGCAUUGGCUUGUGGCCAAUGCAGUGUUGCAGGGAAGCCGUUAAGUUUGCCGCCUGGGAAGUACGUACGCAAGUAUGAAACUUAAAG
rnacentral:rRNA from 2 species